UGAAAAGGUUGAGACGCAUAAAAUAAGCAGCGGUCUCGUCGUUUUCUGCAGGAGUCGGUCACAGAUCAAUAAGGCUCGAAACAUUUCAGCCGUAGGAAGGUUGUGGUUUUUACAACUCCUUGAACGCCUCACAGCGGGAUAGGUGAGUGACGUCACGCAUCAAACGCGUUAAUUGGUCGCGUGGAGGCGGCUUUGAGUUCAAAAUGUUGCGGUGGAACAGACUGAGUCCAGACGGAACAAGGGAAGGAUGAAGACACCGGGUCCAGCUCCGCUCAGAAAACUCUCAGAACUGGAAAAGAAAAGAGACUCUGGGACAAACUCCUCCAACUUCAGGAAGAACUUUGAACCUCACACAGGAAGGUAGAUCUACGAACCAGUAAGUCUCAUGUUUCUUUUUAUUCUGUCUCUCUGUUGAAGGUGUCAUGACUGUCUGUUUAAUCAGCUUCAGGUGUUUGUGGUGUUGUGUCUUUGUUCGGCUACCGUUUUGUUACUGUUGUUUUCUGACAACAUGUCUUCCCUCUGUCCAACAUGGCCACCUGUUCAUUUGGCUGUCUUCUCUCUGUGAGGAACAGCUGAGCUGUUAACGGUGUUGGACAGAUGUCCUCAACACAAUCAGAGCAUUUAGUGAUCUUGUGUUGUUUGGACAGUGUGUUUAUUCAGAGGACUGCAGAAUGUUUGGAAGCUGUGGGAAAGAUUCAGUUUGUCUUUGUGUGCAGUAAAGAAAAGACUGACUGUCUCUGUUAGUGAUGGUGAGACCAGGAAGAAUCAGGUGUUGGAUCUGAGCUGGACUGAUGUGGUUCAGAGUGUGAACAGACUGAGACAGGAGGGUUUUAUCUUCACUGAUCUGAUGAUGAAGGCAGGAAUGUAAUGUGUUUGAUGUUGUGUUAAAGUCAGAGUCUCUAAUCAGCCUGCUGACUGUUUAUUGAAGCUGUGUUGUUGCUGCUGCGCUAUUAAUGUUUUUUUUUUUUUCUUUUUUUUUUUUUUUUUUUUCUGUCUGAUCAGCUUGGAUCAAUAUCUCUGCACUAACUUUUCCUUUCCAGGUGAAUCUACAGUCAGUGAGUCUCAUUUUCUCUUUAACUCUAUGUUGUGUUGUUGGAGGCUGCUGUGCUGCUCAUCUGUCUCUCUGUACCUCUGAACACUUCACCUAACUAUUACUGAGACUUAAACUCAUGUUUGUUUUCUUCAGUAGGCAUGAAAAUGAAAAAUUCCUUAUGACUCCUAACAGUAUCUGUUGUAAUAAUCCUGAUGAUUAAAUGUGUUUCAGAUCAUUCAGUCCUACUCUAGACUUGUUCUAUUUAGACUGUAAUAAAACCUGAGGUUGUGUCUGUUUAACUCUAACUCUGAGUAGAAAAUUCCUUGAUGCACCAUCACAAACAUUUCCACCAUGUUGUUACAGUUGAUCACUUUCAAUGUU